UGCUCUGUGGGAUCAGUGGCGAACGGGUGAGUAACACGUGAGCAACCUGCCCCUGACUCUGGGAUAAGCGCUGGAAACGGCGUCUAAUACUGGAUAUGUGACGUGACCGCAUGGUCUGCGUUUGGAAAGAUUUUUCGGUUGGGGAUGGGCUCGCGGCCUAUCAGCUUGUUGGUGAGGUAAUGGCUCACCAAGGCGUCGACGGGUAGCCGGCCUGAGAGGGUGACCGGCCACACUGGGACUGAGACACGGCCCAGACUCCUACGGGAGGCAGCAGUGGGGAAUAUUGCACAAUGGGCGCAAGCCUGAUGCAGCAACGCCGCGUGAGGGAUGACGGCCUUCGGGUUGUAAACCUCUUUUAGCAGGGAAGAAGCGAAAGUGACGGUACCUGCAGAAAAAGCGCCGGCUAACUACGUGCCAGCAGCCGCGGUAAUACGUAGGGCGCAAGCGUUAUCCGGAAUUAUUGGGCGUAAAGAGCUCGUAGGCGGUUUGUCGCGUCUGCUGUGAAAUCCCGAGGCUCAACCUCGGGCCUGCAGUGGGUACGGGCAGACUAGAGUGCGGUAGGGGAGAUUGGAAUUCCUGGUGUAGCGGUGGAAUGCGCAGAUAUCAGGAGGAACACCGAUGGCGAAGGCAGAUCUCUGGGCCGUAACUGACGCUGAGGAGCGAAAGGGUGGGGAGCAAACAGGCUUAGAUACCCUGGUAGUCCACCCCGUAAACGUUGGGAACUAGUUGUGGGGUCCAUUCCACGGAUUCCGUGACGCAGCUAACGCAUUAAGUUCCCCGCCUGGGGAGUACGGCCGCAAGGCUAAAACUCAAAGGAAUUGACGGGGACCCGCACAAGCGGCGGAGCAUGCGGAUUAAUUCGAUGCAACGCGAAGAACCUUACCAAGGCUUGACAUAUACGAGAACGGGCCAGAAAUGGUCAACUCUUUGGACACUCGUAAACAGGUGGUGCAUGGUUGUCGUCAGCUCGUGUCGUGAGAUGUUGGGUUAAGUCCCGCAACGAGCGCAACCCUCGUUCUAUGUUGCCAGCACGUAAUGGUGGGAACUCAUGGGAUACUGCCGGGGUCAACUCGGAGGAAGGUGGGGAUGACGUCAAAUCAUCAUGCCCCUUAUGUCUUGGGCUUCACGCAUGCUACAAUGGCCGGUACAAAGGGCUGCAAUACCGUGAGGUGGAGCGAAUCCCAAAAAGCCGGUCCCAGUUCGGAUUGAGGUCUGCAACUCGACCUCAUGAAGUCGGAGUCGCUAGUAAUCGCAGAUCAGCAACGCUGCGGUGAAUACGUUCCCGGGUCUUGUACACACCGCCCGUCAAGUCAUGAAAGUCGGUAACACC
rnacentral:rRNA from 1 species